UCUAUUAUGGAUGAGGAGAGAGAAGAGGGGGGUCCUACCUCUAAAACCAGUCUGUCUGAGGAACACGGCUGCCAGAGCAAAGCUAAGAGGUAAGAAGAGGAUCUCUCUCUGUUUGUGACUGUUGUCCAUCUCAGAGCUCAGCAGUGAUAUAUCAUGACUCCAUCAUUAGUCUGAGUAACCGCUGUGUGUGUGUUGUGUUGAAGCCCAGAGCAGCAGGGGAGACCAGAGUCCCCUGGACCCAGCUGUGUCUCCAUGAAGAGUGACCGCUCUAUGGAUCAACCUCAUGACUUUAAAGAUGGAAAUCAGUCUAUUGAGAAGAGGUGAGGAUUUAGGGAGUGACCGGUCAGAAACAUCGAUGAGGGUACCUUCAGCGAUGAAAGAUCGGGAUGUGAGAUUAUCUUUAGGUGGAAAAGGGCUGUUUUAUUGAAGUGGUUGACAUGGGGAGAAUGAGAGGAAAAUCCUGGAUCUUGUUUUUUCUAGAAGAGUCCAGAAGGAGAGAGCAGACUCCCCUGGACCCAGCUGUGUCUCCAUGAGGAGUGACCACUCUAUGGAUCCACCCACUAAGUUUAAAGAUGGAAAUCAGUCUAUUGAGAAAAGAAGAGUCCAGCAGGAGAGAGCAGACUCCCCUGGACCCAGCUGUGUCUCCAUGGAGAGUGAAAAAAUAAAUAAAAAAGAGGAGAGGUAGGAGUUUAAAACAGAUGCUGAAAACAGACCAGUUUGGUUAGUUGUUAUCAGACUCUCAAUACUGAUGUUUACAAAUAAGGGGAAAUACAAUAGAUCCUGUGUGUGUGUGCGUGUGUGUGUGUGUGUGUGUGUGUGUGUAUAUAUAUAGGCAAUAUAUAUAAUUAGGCAAUAUAUACCCAGGUGAAAAAGUAGUAUACUUUAGUGUAUUACAAGUAUAAUUCAAUUAUACAAAAGUUAGUAUAAGUAUACUUUUACUUUUUGUGCUUAAUUUAAAGUAUACAUAACAUGUACUUUUAAAAAGUGUACUUCGCAAUAGAUGUCAUUAAAUUCAACUUUAACGUGCU
rnacentral:lncRNA from 1 species